GUCGUACGAGGGUUUUUAACUCAAGUGGCGGACGGGUGAGUAACACGUAAGAAUUUGCCUUUAGGAGGGGGACAACAAUGAGAAAUUAUUGCUAAUACCCCAUAUGCUUUCGAGUGAAAUGGAUUUUUUCCGCCUAGAGAGAAGCUUGCGGCUGAUUAGCUUGUUGGUGAGGUAAUGGCUUACCAAGGCGACGAUCAGUAUCUGGUUUGAGAGGACGAUCAGACACACUGGAACUGAGACACGGUCCAGACUCCUGCGGGAGGCAGCAGUGGGGAAUUUUCCGCAAUGGGCGAAAGCCUGACGGAGCAAUCUCGCGUGAGGGAUGACUGCCUAUGGGUUGUAAACCUCUUUUUUCAGGGAGGAAUAAAUGACGUGUACCUGAAGAAUAAGCAUCGGCUAACUCCGUGCCAGCAGCCGCGGUAAUACGGGGGAUGCAAGUGUUAUCCGGAAUCACUGGGCGUAAAGCGUCUGUAGGUGGUUUAAUAAGUCAACUGUUAAAUCUUGAAGCUCAACUUCAAAAUCGCAGUCGAAACUAUUAGACUAGAGUAUAGUAGGGGUAAAGGGAAUUUCCAGUGGAGCGGUGAAAUGCGUAGAGAUUGGAAAGAACACCGAUGGCGAAGGCACUUUACUGGGCUAUUACUGACACUCAGAGACGAAAGCUAGGGUAGCAAAUGGGAUUAGAUACCCCAGUAGUCCUAGCUGUAAACAAUGGAUACUAGAUGUUGAACAGAUCGACCUGUGCAGUGUCAAAGCUAACGCGUUAAGUAUCCCGCCUGGGAAGUAUGCUCGCAAGAGUGAAACUCAAAGGAAUUGACGGGGGCCCGCACAAGCGUUGGAGCAUGUGUUUAAAUUCGAUGCAACGCGAAAAACCUUACCAAGGGUUUGACAUGAUAACGAAUUCCUUGAAAGAAGAAGGCCAUUUAUGGAACGUAUAACAAGGUGGUGCAUGCCUGUCGUCAGCUCGUGUCGUGAAGAAGUUGGGUUAAGUCCCGCAACGAGCCGCAACCCUCAUUUUUAAGUGCCUAUGAAACUCUUAAAAAGACUGCUGGUUAUAAACCGAAGAAGCCGGGGAUGACGUCAAGUCAGCAUGCCCUACACCCUGGCUACACACGUGCUACAAUGGUUGAACACAUGAAGCUAUCUGCAAAACAGCAAUCAUAAACUCAUUCUAAUUCGGAAUGAGGCGCACACUCCCCGCACUGAAUGAAUGUCGAAAAUCGUGCACAAUACCGGGGUAAUCUUCCGGGCCUGUAAAAACCACGCCG
rnacentral:rRNA from 1 species